UGACCUAUUUUUAGACCGACGACGUCAAUUGUCGUAGGCUACAUAUUUUCGUCACCAGAUUUAUUGUACGAUUAAGUCGAGAGUAACCCUUUGCCUAUUUCAUCGGUAAAAUAAUCGAUUGAUUGUUUAUUUGGUGUUUAUUUUGAUCGUAUGAUUAUUGAACAGCCGACAUCGGGUCCUUGUGUUAAUAAACACAAAAUGAAGCAAAAUCGACGCAUAUUCAGGAAGAUCCCGGGAGACUGGUGCUCUCGAAAUAAGCUGUUAAUCAUGAAUGAUGAGGUUUGAAGACGAUCCCGUUCGACCCAAAGUGUGUGCUGAAGUUCCUGAAACAAUUACCCAUGCCAUCCAUUUAAAAUCAUCGAUUAAACCACAUAUUUCGUCGUAUUUGAUUAUUUCCCUCACCGAUUAAUCGUAAGAUUUGGUCUGGUUCGAACAAUAAUAAAAUUUAAUAAAUCGAUCAAACCACAUAUUUCGUCUGUUUUCAUUAUUUACUACACCGAACUAUCUUUAGAUUAAGUCUGAUCUGUUCGACGAGGCAAUUUAUUUAACAGAUUAAACGCCCUAUUUUGUCCGAUUCGGUUAUUCUUUUUACCGAUUAUUCGAUGGACUUGGUCUGGUUCGCUCAAUGAUAUUAUUUAAUGAAUCGAUUAGACCA